AGCAUGAUGAGAGUAAUCCAAGUCCCUGUUGGAGUCAGUCAGAGCAUUUCCAUAGAGAGCCACUUUGCAUCAGCAGCACCAUGCUCCAGUGCUCUGGGAGAGUUUAUAGUCCUGAGAGUUGAACACUGGAUGACUGACAGCUGUCCUUCAUGACAACAGAAGACACAGAAAUCCUCCUCAUCAAAAACAUGACUUUGACCUGCGUCCUCAUCUGGACUCUCCUCUGCUGCUGCUUCACAGAGUCCAGAGGUCAGAUCACAGUGACUCAGCCUGCAGCAGUGAGCUCUGCUCUGGGAGGCUCCGUCACCAUCAACUGUAGGACCAGUCAGAAUGUUUAUACUUGGAGCAGCAACCACGCCUUAGCCUGGUACCAACAGAGAGAUGGAGAAACUCCUAAACUUCUCAUUUAUGCUGCUAGCACUCGAGCAUCAGGGAUUCCAGGUCGUUUUACAGGCAGUGGAUCAAACUCUGCCUUCACUCUGACCAUCAGUGGAGUUCAGGCUGAAGAUGCAGCAGUUUACUACUGUCAGAGUUAUCACUACAUCAACAGUCAGAGUGUGUUCACACAGUGA